UGCUGAGUGCAUGCUACAUACAGAGCACUGAGCAAGAGCUAGGAUUAAAGAGGGGAGUAAGCUGGACACCGUGCUUCCUACGUGGAGCAUGUGACCAUGGGAAGGGCAGGCAGAGAUAAAUGAAAAUGACCCAGAUGAAUGCAUAAUUGCUAGCUAUAACAAAGUGUAUGGAGAAGAGGUGCCUGGCACAGUGAGAGUGAAUAAUUAGCAGUUAGCUCGAGGCGGUCAAGGAAGGCUUGCUUCUCUGUGGAAGGCACAUUUCCCUGCGAUCUGAAGGGAGCCCGGGUGACACCUCUCACAUGGCCUGCUUUAUAGUGCUUUGACUGCCUGUCUCCUGGACCAGCCACCUGGCUCUUUGAGGGACUGUGUCUUCUUCGGUUCUUGUUCUGCGCCUAGCACCUGGCACUGACAUGAUAAGCAUUCGUGAUCUGGAAUGACAUCAGCUGCAUGUGGUGACGCCGAUUCUCUCAUGAUAGCCAGAGCUGCUGGAAAGGCAGGAUUGCAGCUAGAAAUGACUAGCUGCAAUUAAUUUGUGCCGGGGUUGGAUUUAACGAAUUUUGAGGGACAGCCAUCCGCCCUUCUUUCAUCGUCCUGCUCCGGCUGCUUCUGCUCCCAGCUGCCCAGUGGAUCUUCCAGCCCUGCUCAAAGUCCUCGAUGACUCCCUGUGACCACAGAGGAAAUAGCAACCUCCUCAGCUUUUAAUGUAAGACCCUUGGCAAUCUGAUCUUUUCCUUAACUUUUCAGCCUUAGGUGGACCUGGGAAGUUUAAGCCUGAGUUCGAAUCUGGGCUCCACUGUGAAAACCUCGGGAAAUGUAUAUAACCUCAGUGCACUUUGGCUUCCUUAUCUAUAAAGUGGAAUCAAUUAUCCCUGUCUUAUCAACUAAAUAAGGAUGUUUGAGGAUCAGAUGAGGGGGUAUGGGUAUGCUCUUUCCACCUGAAAAGCGACGUACUGUUUUGGGGCCACAAUGGUUUCCUUUGCCUUGUCACCCUCAGUGACCAAGGUCCAGAUGGUCAUCAUUCAGAGCCCAGGGGAAACGCCAGGUCCUCUCUGAAGCUGUCGUCAUUACUCUGCCUGAAAUGCUUUCUUCCUCUCAGGUUUCCUAUAUCACGUUGCUUACCCUGCUCUCAAACACCUGUGAUGGCCUCGCCACACACAUCUUCCCAUAUCUGCCUCAUGUCCUUAGACUGUGAGCCCCUGGAGGGCAGGACGCUACUGAAAGCCACUCUGAUUUUCCCACCCACAGCGCUUCCUUACCUAGUCCCCCUGGCCCCGCCCACGAUCGGUGCUUGGUUGAGUACUUGUUGAAAGGAUGGGCGACAGUAGGAACGAAUAAAUGAAUUCGGGUAGAGUGAGGUGUACUAAAGCUGAAGAGAUGAGUAUGAUCCCCUCCGGAGCCUGUUUUACCGCCCCAAUUUUCACAAAUAGACAGGAUCUAGGGCGCUCACGCAGGAAGGGGUUAGGAGCAGCAAUCUGCUUGGAGGUUGGGGAGGGGCCGCUGUGUGCUGCAGAGGAACUCUCGCGUUACCUUCUCUGGGGACCAGGGUUAGGGGUGGGGCUGGGCACGCAACCAGAGCGGACCACGUUGAGUCUGUGCCCUACCUUGCCCCUCUCGGGGGCGUCGCCACCAGCGCUUUCGCGGCGUGGGGUCAGGGAAGAGUGGGGUUGUCUGGGAGCUGUGGAAGGGACUCCUGGCGACCUGAAUUAUGUUCCUCGCACGGGAGCACCUGGUUUAUUAUCAGGGGCUGAAACACACGAGAGAACAAAGGGCC